UCUCCUAUAGCUCAGUUGGUAGAGCGUGCGGCUGUUAACCUCAAAGUCGCUGGUUCCAACCCAGCUGGGAGAG
rnacentral:tRNA from 1 species